GACGAACGCUGGCGGCGUGCUUAACACAUGCAAGUCGAACGGAAAGGCCCUGCUUUUGUGGGGUGCUCGAGUGGCGCACGGGUGAGUAACACGUGUGUAACCUGCCCUUGACUUUGGGAUAACUUCAGGAAACUGGGGCUCAUAUCGGAUAGGAGCUCCUGCUGCACGGUGGGGGUUGGAAAGUUUCGGCGGUUGGGGAUCGUCUCGAGGCUUAUCAGCUUGUUGGUGGGGUAGUGGCUUACCAAGGCUUUGACGGGUAGCCGGCCUGAGAGGGUGACCGGCCACAUGGCGACUGAGAGACGGCCCAGACGCCUACGGGAGGCAGCGGUGGGGAAUAUUGCACAAUGGGCGCAAGCCAGAUGUAGCAGCGCCGCGUUCGUGAUGACGGCCUUCGGGUUGAAAACCGCUUUCGCCGUUGACGAAGCGUUAUUGACGGUAAUGGGUAAGGAAGCACCGGCUAACUACGUG
rnacentral:rRNA from 1 species